rnacentral:piRNA from 1 species
UNGUUCAGUCUGAAUGACCCUACGAAAGG